rnacentral:lncRNA from 1 species
AGAAUUAGUCAUACUGAAAAUAAGAAAUGACCCGUUUAAAAUGAAAUUUUGAAAACUGGGGCUAAAGUGCAAAAUUAAAAAAAAAAUGGUCAUAUAGGACCCACGUCAGCAGCAUGACUAGUCGUCGUGCACCGCAUGGAAGACAUGUCAGUAAGCAUUCCACGCGGGUAAUCCGCGUGCCAAUCAAUUCAACGACCUAGAUUUACUGU